GACGAACGCUGGCGGCGUGCUUAACACAUGCAAGUCGAACGGAAAGGCACUGCUUUUGUGGGGUGCUCGAGUGGCGAACGGGUGAGUAACACGUGAGUAACCUGCCCUUGACUUUGGGGUAACUUCAGGAAACUGGGGCUAAUACAGGAUAGGAGAUCCUGCUGCAUGGUGGGGGUUGGAAAGUUUCGGCGGUUGGGGAUGGACUCGCGGCUUAUCAGCUUGUUGGUGGGGUAGUGGCUUACCAAGGCUUUGGCGGGUAGCCGGCCUGAGAGGGUGACCGGCCACAUUGGGACUGCGAGACGGCCCAGACUCCUACGGGAGGCAGCAGUGGGGAAUAUUGCACAAUGGGCGGGAGCCUGAUGCAGCAACGCCGCGUGCGGGAUGACGGCCUUCGGGUUGUAAACCGCUUUCGCCUGUGACGAAGCGUGAGUGACGGUAAUGGGUAAAGAAGCACCGGCUAACUACGUG
rnacentral:rRNA from 1 species